CUGUGAGACAGGUGCUGCAUGGCUGUCGUCAGCUCGUGUUGUGAAAUGUUGGGUUAAGUCCCGCAACGAGCGCAACCCUUAUCCUUUGUUGCCAGCGGUCCGGCCGGGAACUCAAAGGAGACUGCCAGUGAUAAACUGGAGGAAGGUGGGGAUGACGUCAAGUCAUCAUGGCCCUUACGACCAGGGCCACACACGUGCUACAAUGGCGCAUACAAAGAGAAGCGACCUCGCGAGAGCAAGCGGACCUCAUAAAGUGCGUCGUAGUCCGGAUUGGAGUCUGCAACUCGACUCCAUGAAGUCGGAAUCGCUAGUAAUCGUGGAUCAGAAUGCCACGGUGAAUACGUUCCCGGGCCUUGUACACACCGCCCGUCACACCAUGGGAGUGGGUUGCAAAAGAAGUAGGUAGCUUAACCUUCGGGAGGGCGCUUACCACUUUGUGAUUCAUGACUGGGGUGAAGUCGUAACAAGGUAACCGUAGGGGAACCUGCGGCUGGAUCACCUC
rnacentral:rRNA from 1 species